rnacentral:rRNA from 1 species
AGUGAACGCUGGCGGUAGGCCUAACACAUGCAAGUCGAACGGCAGCACAGUAAGAGCUUGCUCUUACGGGUGGCGAGUGGCGGACGGGUGAGGAAUACAUCGGAAUCUACUUUUUCGUGGGGGAUAACGUAGGGAAACUUACUCUAAUACCGCAUACGACCUACGGUUGAAAGCAGUGGAUCUUCGGACCUUGCGCGAUUGAAUGAGCCGAUGUCGGAUUAGCUAGUUGGCGGGGUAAAGGCCCACCAAGGCGACGAUCCGUAGCUGGUCUGAGAGGAUGAUCAGCCACACUGGAACUGAGACACGGUCCAGACUCCUACGGGAGGCAGCAGUGGGGAAUAUUGGACAAUGGGCGCAAGCCUGAUCCAGCCAUACCGCGUGGGUGAAGAAGGCCUUCGGGUUGUAAGGCCCUUUUGUUGGGAAAGAAAAGCAGCAGGUUAAUACCCCGCUGUUCUGACGGUACCCAAAGAAUAAGCACCGGCUAACUUCGU